rnacentral:lncRNA from 1 species
UAUGAAAAUACCCAGCCGGCCUGCAGCCCUCCCGGCAGAUGCUGAAAAGGAAACCCGACUGGGAGAUGCCGCCCACCCUUGUCCCCAGAGAGCUGCGUUGUUUCCUCCUGCCUCGGCCUUUGGAUCCGGCCACAGCAAGCAUCCCUGGGCACCUGGCUGAAGCUGGAAACUCGGGAUAAGAAUGGAAGCCCUGGAAGGGAAGAAGAACCGAGGAGUGAGCUUGCCCUGAGGACAGCACAUCGCACUCUCACCUCCUUUGCAGUUAAGUGUGAAAUAGUGCCAAUAGAGUGUGAAAGAAAAGAAAGAAGAUGAUUCACCUCCCAAAGAUUCCCCACUGCUGUGUCCCUUCUAUCAACUUGAUACAAAAAAACACAAUGGCCCCGGGAACCACGUGUUGAAGAUGAGAGAGCUAAAAGAUGGAAAGAGACUGGAGCCCUGAGUCACCACCUGGAGGAAAACUACCCACCCAUCAGGAAUUUCUACCACACAUUUGGGAGUUUUGGGGGUUACAGCAGCUACUUUAACUAAAACACCCAGAGACAAGAGCUAUUACUGCGCAAAUUGGUUAAGUUACCUUUUUGUAUGUUUGGGUCCUCUCUAUUCGAUGAGACUGCGCGUUCCUUUGAAGCAAAUCUGUUUAAAGUUCUUAUAUCCCCAGAGGGCCUAGCAGAGAGUAUGCACAGAGUGAGCCUUCAGUAAAUGCUGAGUAAAUAAGCUCCUAAUGGAUGAAACUGGGUCUUCGAAGUUUGUUCUGACCAGUA